GUGUCAGCCGCCGCGGUAAUACGUAGGGGGCAAGCGUUGUCCGGAAUUAUUGGGCGUAAAGAGCGUGUAGGCGGAUAUUUAAGUCAGAUGUGAAAACUGGCGGCUCAACCGUGAGACUGCAUCUGAUACUGGAUAUCUUGAGGGUAAGAGAGGGCAGUGGAAUUCCUAGUGUAGCGGUGAAAUGCGUAGAUAUUAGGAGGAACACCAGUGGCGAAGGCGACUGCCUGGCUUACAACUGACGCUGAGACGCGAAAGCGUGGGGAGCAAACAGGAUUAGAUACCCUUGUAGUCC
rnacentral:rRNA from 1 species